UGGGGAAUCUUAGACAAUGGGCGCAAGCCUGAUCUAGCCAUGCCGCGUGAGCGAUGAAGGCCUUAGGGUUGUAAAGCUCUUUCGCUGGGGAAGAUAAUGACUGUACCCAGUAAAGAAGCCCCGGCUAACUCCGUGCCAGCAGCCGCGGUAAUACGGAGGGGGCUAGCGUUAUUCGGAAUUACUGGGCGUAAAGCGCACGUAGGCGGGCCAGAAAGUCAGAGGUGAAAUCCCGGGGCUCAACCUCGGAACU
rnacentral:rRNA from 1 species